UACGUAGGGUGCGAGCGUUAAUCGGAAUUACUGGGCGUAAAGCGUGCGCAGGCGGUUUUGUAAGCCAGAUGUGAAAGCCCCGGGCUUAACCUGGGAAUGGCAUUUGGGACUGCAAGGCUUGAGUGUGGCAGAGGAGACUGGAAUUCCUGGUGUAGCAGUGAAAUGCGUAGAGAUGCGGAGGAACACCGAUGGCGAAGGCAGCCCCCUGGGCUAACACUGACGCUCAGGCACGAAAGCGUGGGGAGCAAACAGG
rnacentral:rRNA from 1 species